CCUACGGGGGGCAGCAGUGGGGGAUAUUGGACAAUGGGGGGAACCCUGAUCCAGCGACGCCGCGUGAGUGAAGAAGUAUUUCGGUAUGUAAAGCUCUGUCAGCAGGGAAGAAAGAAAUGACGGUACCUGACCAAGAAGCCCCGGCUAACUACGUGCCAGCAGCCGCGGUAAUACGUAGGGGGCAAGCGUUAUCCGGAAUUACUGGGUGUAAAGGGAGCGUAGACGGUUAAGUAAGUCUGGAGUGAAAGGCCGGGGCCCAACCCCGGGACUUGUUUGGAAACUAUUGAACUUGAGUGCAGGGGUGGGAAGCGGAAUUCCUAGUGUAGCGGUGAAAUGCGUAGAUAUUAGGAGGAACACCAGUGGCGAAGGCGGCUUACUGGACUGUAACUGACGUUGAGGCUCGAAAGCGUGGGGAGCAAACAGGAUUAGAUACCCGGGUAGUC
rnacentral:rRNA from 1 species